rnacentral:pre_miRNA from 1 species
UAACCUCCGCAGGCUGGUAGGCCGCUAGCCUGGCUGGGCUGGGCGAGUACCUCUUCAAAAGGCUCACCCUCAAGCAUGACCAGGAGC